rnacentral:lncRNA from 1 species
GCACUGUUUUCAUUUUAAUGAUCUCUCUCGUUCUGACUCGUUUUGAAUAUAAUUUCCAUUUUAAUUACAAUUUUCGGGGCAAUUGUUGAAAUUAAGAACAACAACAGAACAGAAAAAAUAACAGUGGUGUGGUGGAAAUUAUAUAUGUACAUAUAUUUGCUAGGGGUUUUCCGACUGCUUAUUUCAAUUGCCUUUCCGCUUUAUUCCUAAUGGAAUUUUUAACUAUUUUUCCUCACACAAAUUUCUAGGGGGACAGAGAGAGGUUUUAUGCAUGGUUUUUCCAUUCACGAAUAUAUAUCGUAUCGUAUUUAAUGUUAAUGGCUAUAUAAAUAUUUAUUUAGUUACAUAACAAAGUAGCCUGCAUGCUUAAUAUUAACAGUUUUUAAUUUACUUAUUUUCCUCCUCUCUGACCAAAAGUUUAGUUUUCCAGUUUUUAGUUUUUCCCAUUAAAGAUUUGUUUACACAAAGCCAGAGCCGGGGCCAGGGCCAGGGCCAUUGACACACCUGUACAUGAUUUGAUUUCUUGUUCUGUUUCUGUGUAUUUUCCUCUGUAAAUUGUAUUUUAUUUUUUCGAAAUUUCUUGUGUAGUAGAUUUUGUCUAUGGGUUUUUUUUUCGUUUUAUUAUUUACACAAUACUCGUACUCGUACACAAUUUUUAAUUCAGUCUUUGGAAGAAUAACAUUCUAGAUUCUUUUUUCUGUUUUGGUUUACAAUUUCUUCGGUUUUUCUUAUUAUGUUUCGCUCUGUCUACUGAAUAUUAUUAUUUUAUUCUAAAAACAAAACGGAUUGUGGCGGAAACUUUCUCCAUAAAAUGAAGUUGUAAGUGUUUUCAUUGGUCCUAAUCGGUUUUAAAGAUGCAGACAGUACGUUUCAGGGCUAACAAUUGAAGAAAAUUAUGGAAAAUGUAUCGAAAAAGUGGUCGAGAUUUUUAAUAAUUAAAUAGCUGUCAAAAUUGUGUUUGAAAAUGUAGCAGAAAUGGUGAUAAAAAUAUGUAGAAAUUAUGAGAAAUCGAAAUCGUGUCGAAAGGGGUCUAAAAAUAAUAAGAAGAAUGGGCGAAAUGUUAGUCGUAUAGUAAUACAAAUAUUGGUACAAUUGGUUGUCGAAAAUGAUUAAAAAUGUAAUUGAAAGUUAAUGUAAGUAAAUGUAAGUUAAGUCAAGGUAUCAAAAUAUUGGUGACAAAUCUAGUUCUGAAAAGCCCUGCAUAUAUUCCAACAAAAUUAUAAAAAUGCAUUAGAAAACAGAAACUUUACCUCAAACCAUAAAUCUCUAU